UGGGGAAUUUUGGACAAUGGGCGAAAGCCUGAUCCAGCAAUGCCGCGUGUGUGAAGAAGGCCUUCGGGUUGUAAAGCACUUUUGUCCGGAAAGAAAUCCUUGGCUCUAAUACAGUCGGGGGAUGACGGUACCGGAAGAAUAAGCACCGGCUAACUACGUGCCAGCAGCCGCGGUAAUACGUAGGGUGCAAGCGUUAAUCGGAAUUACUGGGCGUAAAGCGUGCGCAGGCGGUUUGCUAAGACCGAUGUGAAAUCCCCGGGCUCAACCUGGGAACUGCAUUGGUGACUGGCAGGCUAGAGUAUGGCAGAGGGGGGUAGAAUUCCACGUGUAGCAGUGAAAUGCGUAGAGAUGUGGAGGAAUACCGAUGGCGAAGGCAGCCCCCUGGGCCAAAUACUGACGCUCAUGCACGAAAGCGUGGGGAGCAAAACAGGAUUAGAUACCCUGGUAGUCCACGCCCUAAAACGAUGUCAACUAGUUGUUGGGGAUUCAUUUCCUUAGUAACGUAGCUAACGCGUGAAGUUGACCGCCUGGGGAGUACGGUCGCAAGAUU
rnacentral:rRNA from 1 species